rnacentral:rRNA from 1 species
ACUCCUGCGGGAGGCAGCAGUGGGGAAUUUUGGACAAUGGGCGAAAGCCUGAUCCAGCAAUGCCGCGUGCAGGAUGAAGGCCUUCGGGUUGUAAACUGCUUUUGUACGGAACGAAAAAGCUCCUUCUAAUACAGGGGGCCCAUGACGGUACCGUAAGAAUAAGCACCGGCUAACUACGUGCCAGCAGCCGCGGUAAUACGUAGGGUGCGAGCGUUAAUCGGAAUUACUGGGCGUAAAGCGUGCGCAGGCGGUUAUGUAAGACAGAUGUGAAAUCCCCGGGCUCAACCUGGGAACUGCAUUUGUGACUGCAUGGCUAGAGUACGGUAGAGGGGGAUGGAAUUCCGCGUGUAGCAGUGAAAUGCGUAGAUAUGCGGAGGAACACCGAUGGCGAAGGCAAUCCCCUGGACCUGUACUGACGCUCAUGCACGAAAGCGUGGGGAGCAAACAGGAUUAGAAACCCUGGUAGUCCCA